rnacentral:misc_RNA from 1 species
AACGCACAUUGCGCCCGCCAGUAUUCUGGCGGGCAUGCCUGUUCGAGCGUCAUUUCAACCCUCAGGCCCCCAGUGCCUGGCGUUGGGGAUCGGCGCGGCGCCCUCCGGGGCGCUGCCGGCCCCGAAAUUCAGUGGCGGUCUCGCUGUAGCCCUCCUCCGCGUAGUAGCACAACCUCGCGGCCUGGAGCUCGGCGGUGGCCAUGCCGUAAAACACCCCACUUCUGAAAGUUGACCUCGGAUCAGGUAGGAAUACCCGCUGAACUUAA